UGAACGCUGGCGGUAGGCCUAACACAUGCAAGUCGAACGGCAGCACAGUAAGAGCUUGCUCUUACGGGUGGCGAGUGGCGGACGGGUGAGGAAUACAUCGGAAUCUACUUUUUCGUGGGGGAUAACGUAGGGAAACUUACGCUAAUACCGCAUACGACCUACGGGUGAAAGCAGGGGAUCUUCGGACCUUGCGCGAUUGAAUGAGCCGAUGUCGGAUUAGCUAGUUGGCGGGGUAAAGGCCCACCAAGGCGACGAUCCGUAGCUGGUCUGAGAGGAUGAUCAGCCCCACUGGAACUGAGACACGGUCCAGACUCCUACGGGAGGCAGCAGUGGGGAAUAUUGGACAAUGGGCGCAGGCCUGAUCCAGCCAUACCGCGUGGGUGAAGAAGGCCUUCGGGUUGUAAAGCCCUUUUGUUGGGAAAGAAAAGCAGCAGGUUAAUACCCCGCUGUUCUGACGGUACCCAAAGAAUAAGCACCGGCUAACUUCGUG
rnacentral:rRNA from 1 species